AUUGAACGCUGGCGGCAUGCUUUACACAUGCAAGUCGAACGGCAGCGCGGGCUUCGGCCUGGCGGCGAGUGGCGAACGGGUGAGUAAUACAUCGGAACGUGCCCAGUAGUGGGGGAUAGCUCGGCGAAAGCCGGAUUAAUACCGCAUACGACCUGAGGGUGAAAGCGGGGGAUCUUCGGACCUCGCGCUAUUGGAGCGGCCGAUGGCAGAUUAGCUAGUUGGUGGGGUAAAGGCCUACCAAGGCGACGAUCUGUAGCUGGUCUGAGAGGACGACCAGCCACACUGGGACUGAGACACGGCCCAGACUCCUACGGGAGGCAGCAGUGGGGAAUUUUGGACAAUGGGCGAAAGCCUGAUCCAGCAAUGCCGCGUGUGUGAUGAAGGCCUUCGGGUUGUAAAGCACUUUUGGCGGGAACGAAAAGGACUGUGCCAAUACCACGGUUCGAUGACGGUACCCGCAGAAUAAACACCGGCUAACUACGU
rnacentral:rRNA from 1 species